rnacentral:lncRNA from 1 species
GACACAACCUCAAUUUAUAUUACAAAGUUGACUCGAUCCUAUUCUUUGUAUAACUACUGUAAACUUAAGAAGUACAAAGCUUUGUGAGACUAAGAUUGAGACACUUUGAGAUUCUCUGUGAAGUUGCGUGGUGUCUUAUGUCCUUCGCUUUGGCUCUUAUAGUCUUUUGUAGCAUCUGCUUCUUUUCUUCAUAAGGAAACUCAAAAGAUUUCAUUUCAAUCAAGGAUUUUUGUUGAUUCCUUAAUUGAGGGAGUUUGUACCUUAUGGUAUGUCCAUAUCAGAUGUGUCGAUCCUUGAUGUGAUCUUCCUUUCUCAUAACUAUACAUAUCCAUAUAAGAUAUAUCCAUGUAGAGGGUGUGAUCUCCUUUCCUUUAGCCUUGCCAUGAGGUAUGUUUAAUCAUCCUUUGAUUUGCCUUAUCCAGCGAGAUCUUUAGUUGAUGUGAAUCUUGUUGCCUUGUCUAGCAAGAUCUUUAAUUGAUGUACCUCCAUAUUUAGUGUCGUCCUCUUUGAGAGGAUAUUCCUUGCCUUUGUGCGAGAUAUCCUCCCAUCAAUAGAGGUCUUCAAUACCCUUUGUGCGAGGUUUCCUCCAUCAUUAGAGAUCUUCAAUAUCCUACAAAUGUCCACUUAUUAGUUUGUCAUUAUAAAACAUAAAACAUAACUAUAAGGGCUAACACAAAAUUCUUGUUUACCUUUUUAAACUUUGUCUCAAGUUAAACUAGGACAAAUAAAUUAAAAAGGAGGAAACAACAUCUUUUAUAUAAUUUUCAAAUAUCUAAUUUAAAAUAUUAAAUUAAUUUAGUUUGGAGAAUUAGGUAAUUCUCGUGAAGAAAAAAUGUUUCAAGUAAAUGUGAGCAAAGAGAUUAUGUUUAGAGUUCCUAUCUGUUGUCUUCAGAAAAGAGAAAGUGAGAACUCCUUUUAUUUUGUUCUGUUUUUAACGGGAUUGAUGCUAGGAUAGCUAAAGCUGACAAAAUAAUUUAGCAGUCAAUCUUUCAUUUACCUAUAUUAUGGGGAUGACUCUUCUAUCAGUUCAGAUGUUUUAGUCGGUUGUUAUUAGGCUAGACAUGCUAAAUUUAGAAGUAGAGACGUCUGUUUAUGGUAGAAUAUUUUAGACAGGAAAUGGGCUGUCAGAAAAGCCAGAAAUGUGUGCAAGUGUACUAUGGGUCUCAAAAAGACUUAAUUAAGGUAACAGUUACUGUUAGGACAAUUAUCUUCAAUAAAAUAAAUAUUGACCCUAAACUUGACAUCAAAUUAUAACUUUGACCUUAAAUUUUGAUAAUGCACAAAUAUGACCUUUAACUAUUCAAAACUGUACAAAUAUAACCUCCGAUCAUAUGUGGCAAAACGCGUGUUGUACACACAAAACUGAGCGCAUCGGGCUAAAAAUUUGAUAGUUCCAACAGUUAAAAAAGGAUAAAAUGACUAUAAUGUCCUUACUAAUUCCUUUUUAUAUAGGUAAAUGACUUUUCACAAUUAUUUUUUCAUUAUUUUCAGCUCAAAGAUGAAACUAUACUAAUAAUAAAUAAAAAAAUUAUAAUUUUAAUAAAACGUUUUUGAAUUAAAGUUAUUAAAUUAACGUUAUUAAAUUAAUGUUAUUAAGAUAUUAUUAAAUUAACGUUAUUAAAACGUUAUUAAAUUAAUGUUACUAAAACCUUAUUAAUAAAACGUUAUUAAGAGUAGUAGUAGUAGUAUAUUAAAUUAACGUUAUUAAAAUAUUAUAAAUAAAAGAUUGUUAAGGACAGUACUAGUAGUAUAUUAAAUUAACGUUAUUAAAGCGUUAUUAUAUUAACGUUAUUAAAUUAGCGUUAUUAAAACGUUAUUAAGGACAGUAGUAGUAUUUAAAUUAAUGUUAUUAAAACGUUAUUAAUAAAACAUUAUUAAGAUGAAAAUUUUAUUAUUAAUAAUAAUUAUAAUAAUACUAAUAAUAAUAGUAAUAAUAAUAAUGAUAAUGAUAAUGAUAAUGAUAAUGAUAAUGAUAAUGAUAACGAUAACAAUGAUAACGAUAACAACAACAACAACAACAAAGCAAAACGACGCCAUUUUAACUUAUAGAAACAAAACGACGUCGUUUUAAGUUUCAAAUCAAAAGUCCUCCCAGUCAGCCCUUUUAAUAACGUGACAGCGUAUGAUUGAAUUACAUAUCCACGUAGGUGCAAGUGAAACUCACGCAUGGAGGUUGCAAAACCGGAUGCCAUAUUUAUUCUAGUUUUGAAUAGUUAAAGGUUCUAUUUGUGUACUAUCAAAGUUUAAAGUCAAAAUUAUAAUUUGGUGUCAAGUUUAGGGUCAUAUUUAUGUAUUAUUUAUGUAUUAUGCCAAGAAAUAUUGAACCAUAACUUCAUUUAUACUACAAGUGGUAUUUGGUGUACAGAGGCGACGAGGGGUGCUAACUUGGCCACCCAACCCAGCAAGUCAGGGGCAGGCCGGCCAUAGAUUCUAAUCCCUUUCUUGUGGAUCAUUGUAUGGUUACUGGAUGAUGGGGAUAACAAAAUAAAAAUUUGAAAAUGAUCUUGAAAUGUCAAUAUAUGAAUUGUUUCAUUAUUCGAGUCAGAAGGAUUAUGUCACACUUUGUGCUUUUCUUUAGAGUUGUGGGAAACCACCACUGUUGUUUAUUAAUCCAAAAAAUUGGUAGUGUCACCUUAAGUGAAUAAAAAAUUUGAAGUAAACGAUACCUUUUAUUUGAAUAAUGACUUUAGAGUAUAUUAUGGGGUCAUGGUUCAUGAGUGUUCAAUAUUGUUACUAAUAAUAACCAUGGAUCCAGUCGGUCGUGGCAGAUAGACGCUGCAAAUGUCAUAUUUUACGCCCUCAGUUGUUUCUAGCACCCACUGUGACGGUAUAUCUCUACUUGGUCACCAAUCAUUAUCAAGCUGGUGUAAACAGAGUUAAUUCAGUAGUCAACUAUAUGCACUAGAGAAAAGCAUGAAAAAGAAAAUGCAGACAGUAAUGUAGUAGACCAAUUCCAGCCUCAUCUAUACAAUUUCCAGCCAAGCUGUUUUUGUUCUUUCUUUCAUCAUUACUCUAUAUGGAUUUCAUCUUAUUCUUUCUCAUUCUAUCUUUGUCCAGUAUUCCUGUCUUUGGUUUUACAUUGACAGAAUUUGUCUAUCCCAACUUUACCGCGUCCAAUCUCCAUUUUAUCGACAGCACUGGAAGUUUCCUGGUUUCUAACAAUGGAACAUUCAAAGCUGCUAUCUUCAAUCCCGGUUCUGAACAAGUUAAUUUCUAUUUAUGUGUUAUCCAUGUGGAAUCCAAUACCAUUAUCUGGUCUGCAAAUGGUGAUGCUCCUGUUUCGAACUCAGGAAUUAUGAGGUUGACCAAGAAUGGUAUCGAUAUUACUGAAAAAGAUGGCAGUUUUAAGUGGUCAACUCCACCACUAAAGUCAGAAGUUUACGCGCUGCAGCUAACUGCGGCCGGAAAUCUCAUUCUCCGUGAUCAGUUUAAUGGGACACUUUGGCAAAGUUUUGAUCAUCCGACAGAUACAAUUGUAAUUGGACAGAAGUUGCGCGUUGGCAUGAUGCUUUCAAGUGCAAUAUCAGGUGAUGCUUUAUCAAAGGGUCAUUACAGGCUUUCUUUGACUGCUUCCGAUACUAUGUUACAGUGGCAAGAUCUGACAUACUGGAAAUUGUCCAUGGAAACUCAAGCUUAUACUAAUUCAAACUACGCAGUGGAAUAUAUGUCUGUAAAUCAAACAGGUCUGUAUCUUUUUGGUCAAAGAGGUUCUGCAGUGGUGAUAAUGGUGAACUUGUUACAAUCCACUUUUCGAAUUGCCAAAUUGGAUGAUUCAGGUCAGUUGAUCGUUAUUAGUUUUGUUGGCUCUGACAUCAAACGAGAUUUUGUUGGGCCAGUGGAUGCGUGUAGGGUACCUUAUGUUUGUGGAGGGCUUGGUGUAUGCACCUCCGAUGUGUUAUCAGAUAAUCCUAAAUGUUCCUGUCCUGCUAACUUCAAUCUUAGAUCACAUAAUUCAAGCAGCUGCGUGCCUAGUGACAGUUCCUAUUCUUUGCCAGUUUCUUGUAACUCCACCAACUACAGCAAUCUGUCGAAUUCCUCCUCCAUGUCGUACAUAAGACUUGGUUUUGGUAUGGACUACUUCACUACUGGUUUUACCAAGCCCUUCAGGUAUGGAGUGAAUUUGUCCGUGUGUCAAAAUCUCUGCUCAGUAGACUGUUCAUGCUUGGGGAUAUUUUAUGCAAACUCGUCUGGUUCUUGUUACAAACUAGAAGAUGAAAUAGGGUCAAUUAUGUUAAGGACAAGUACAAAUAAUGAUCUGUUGGGAUUAGUUAAGAUCCUGUCUGGAGUUUCAAAUGAUAGUUUUGAUCAGGAAACUGCGGACUUCCCUUUAGUUGCAAUAGUGAUCUUACCUUUCACAGGAAUCUUCCUACUGAUGGCACUGGCUUUCAUUUUGUGGAGAAGAUCUAAACCCCAAAG